rnacentral:rRNA from 1 species
UUUCGCAAUGCCCGAAAGGGUGACGAAGCGACGCCGCGUGGGUGAGGAAGGCCUUCGGGUUGUAAAGCCCUGUCAGGAGUUAAGAAAUGUAAGUGCGCUAAUAUCGCAUUUAUUUGACGAAGGCUCCAAAGGAAGUCACGGCUAACUCUGUGCCAGCAGCCGCGGUAAUACAGAGGUGGCAAGCGUUGUUCGGAAUUAUUGGGCGUAAAGAGCACGUAGGUGGGUUUGUAAGUCAGAUGUGAAAGCCUUCUGUUCAACGGAAGAAUUGCAUCUGAAACUGCGAGUCUUGAGUGUAGGAGGGGAGAAUGGAACUUCCGGUGGAGCGGUGAAAUGCGUAGAUAUCAGAAGGAACGCCGGCGGCGAAAGCGAUUCUCUGGCCUAUUACUGACACUCAGUGUGCGAAAGCUAGGGGAGCAAACGGGAUUAGAUACCCCGGUAGUCCUAGCCGUAAACGAUGGGCACUAAGUAGAGGGGUUUUA